UUGUCUGAGGGGCGACGUAGGUCGGUCGAGAGGCCGUCCAGGCUCUGCCCGGCUGCGAGGGAGGUGAAGGCCUUGGUCUGAGCUGGUGACAUCAGCAGAGGGAGGAGUCCCAGGAUCUGUGAGGAGUCAAGAUAAGUGUCUCAGGGAGGUGAAGGCCUUGGUCUGAGUGUGAAGGCAGGUUAGCUGAGGGAGCCACAUCAGGUCAGAAGAGGGUGGAGUCCCAAGCUCUACCAGGUGU